rnacentral:rRNA from 1 species
UCGGGAAUUUUGGGCAAUGGGGGAAACCCUGACCCAGCAACGCCGCGUGAAGGAUGAAGUAUUUCGGUAUGUAAACUUCGAAAGAAUAGGAAGAAUAAAUGACGGUACUAUUUAUAAGGUCCGGCUAACUACGUGCCAGCAGCCGCGGUAAUACGUAGGGACCAAGCGUUGUUCGGAUUUACUGGGCGUAAAGGGCGCGUAGGCGGCAUGACAAGUCACUUGUGAAAUCUCUGGGCUUAACCCAGAACGGCCAAGUGAUACUGUCGCGCUAGAGUGCAGAAGGGGCAAUCGGAAUUCUUGGUGUAGCGGUGAAAUGCGUAGAUAUCUGGAGGAACACCGGUGGCGAAGGCGACAUCCUGGACCAAUUCUGACGCUGAGGAGCGAAAGCCAGGGGAGCAAACGGGAUUAGAUACCCCAGUAGUCCCUGAGCGGGCUGGCAAGGCGCAU